AUUGAACGCUGGCGGCAGGCCUAACACAUGCAAGUCGAACGAGUGGCGGACGGGUGAGUAACGUCUGGGAAACUGCCUGAUGGAGGGGGAUAACUACUGGAAACGGUCGAUAAUACCGCAUACCAUCGGAUGUGCCCAGAUUGGAUUAGCUAGUAGGUGGGGUAAAGGCUCACAUAGGCGACGAUCCCUAGCUGGUCUGAGAGGAUGACCAGACAGACGGAAACUGAGACACGGUCCAGACUCCUACGAGAGGCAGCAGGGGAGAAUAUUGCACAAGGGGAGCGAGCCAGAAGCAGCCACGCAGCGUGUAUGGAGAAGGCCUUCGGGUUGUAGAGUACUUUCAGCGGGGAGGGGUUACCGGCAGAAGAAGCACCGGCUAACUCCGUGCCAGCAGCCGCGGUAAUC
rnacentral:rRNA from 1 species